rnacentral:rRNA from 1 species
UCUUCCACAAUGGGCGCAAGUCUGAUGGAGCAACGCCGCGUGAGUGAAGAAGGUUUUCGGAUCGUAAAACUCUGUUGUAAGGGAAGAACAAGUACAGUAGUAACUGGCUGUACCUUGACGGUACCUUAUUAGAAAGCCACGUCGAACUACGUGCCAGCGUCCGCGGUAAUACGUAGGUGGCAAGUGUUGUCCGGAAUUAUUGGGCGUAAAGCGCGCGCAGGCGGUCCUUUAAGUCUGAUGUGAAAGCCCACGGCUCAACCGUGGAGGGUCAUUGGAAACUGGGGGACUUGAGUGCAGAAGAGGAAAGUGGAAUUCCAAGUGUAGCGGUGAAAUGCGUAGAGAUUUGGGGGAACACCAGUGGCGAAGGCGACUUUCUGGUCUGUAACUGACGCUGAGGCGCGAAAGCGUGGGGAGCAAACAGG